rnacentral:rRNA from 1 species
AACGAACGCUGGCGGCAUGCCUAACACAUGCAAGUCGAACGAGACCUUCGGGUCUAGUGGCGCACGGGUGCGUAACGCGUGGGAACCUGCCCUUAGGUUCGGAAUAACUCCCCGAAAGGGGUGCUAAUACCGGAUAAUGUCUUCGGACCAAAGAUUUAUCGCCUUUGGAUGGGCCCGCGUUGGAUUAGCUAGUUGGUAGGGUAAAAGCCUACCAAGGCGACGAUCCAUAGCUGGUCUGAGAGGAUGAUCAGCCACACUGGGACUGAGACACGGCCCAGACUCCUAGGGGGGGGAGCAGGGGGGAAUAUUGGAAAAUGGGCGAAAGCCUGAUCCAGCAAUGCCGCGUGAGUGAUGAAGGCCUUAGGGUUGUAAAGCUCUUUUACCCGGGAUGAUAAUGACAGUACCGGGAGAAUAAGCCCCGGCUAACUCCGU